GCCCAGCCCCCAUCGUCACCACCGGUUACAGGGUUACACUGAGAGCGGGUGGUGGGGACCCAAAGCUGAGGCUCAGGGCCAGUACAAAGCAGACAGAGGACCUGGGAUUUGAUUUUGUCCUUCCCACUCUCUGUCUGACUUCAGGCAGGUCACUGUUACCCCUGGGCCUCAGUUUCCCCAUUUGGAAUCAAGGAAUGGUAGCAUCACUUACAUCCUCUGUGCUAUACACGGUUUUACAUGCAGGCAGGUGCUAUUGUCUCCAGCUGUCUCUGAGGUUCAGAGACAGGCAGGGGAGGGAUCUGGCUUUCAAACAUCAAACAUGAGCCUCGAGCACUAGGGAGCAUCCCUUUCUGCCUGUCUUCUGUCCUCCCACAGAACGGAGUGUGGUUGUGGGAUCCAUCUCACUGAAGAAAGGCCUUUUGGAUCUUCAGGUGGAUUCACUAUGCACUUUCCUGUGUGGGGAGGGCAGCCGUUUGAAAACAAAUGCAUAGUGAAUCCUCACUCUGAUGGAGACACAGUAACCGACUGGGCCUUCUCUCAGAACUCACCUGGUUGGGUGGUGCUCAAAGUGACCAUAGGUCCAGACUGUCUUUGUGAUGUCUGUGUGUGUCCGUGACAAUGGUAUGGACUGUAAUGGUGUUGCUGCUGAUAACCAUGGUGGUCGUGAGGGUGAUAAUUUAUAGUGCUGAUGGUGAUGAUUGAUGGUUGUGAUGGUUGUGAUGGAUGAUGGUGAUGAUGAUGGUUGUGGUGGAUGAUGGUGAUGGUGGUGAUGGUGAUGAUGGUUGUGAUGGUGAUGAUGGUGAUGAUGGUGGUGAUAGAUGAUGGCAGUAGUAAUAAUAAUGAUGUUGGUUAUGAGGAUGUCGUGAUGGCAGCAAUGAGGAUGACAGUGGUGAUCAUCGUGAUGAUGUUGGUGGUGCCGAGGAUGGUGGUAAUGAUGAUGAUCAGGUGGUGAAUAAGAUGGUGGUGAUGCUGCUGCUGGCUGUGGCAUCAUGUCAUUGGUCCGUGGACCAAAGCCUUCACAAUGCUUUCAUGGGUCUGAUGUGUUAUCCACUUUCUACAAGUGGAUAAAUCUAUUGACCCUUGAGUGGCCAUAGGGUGUGAAGUGCUGGCCGGGUAAGGGGAAGCUCGCCAGAGGAGGUGGAUGACCCCAGCCUCAGGGGGAGACAAGGACUCGCAUAGACAGGGAGGCAGAGGCACUGACUGGGGACACAGGUGCCUGCAGGGUGAAGAGCCAUGCAAACAGCACAUCUGGGAAACCCAGGGCUGUCGUGUUUAAUGCCCCCUGGUGAUUUGAGGCUGAGGUGGGUUAAGGACUUUGUCUGGAUCUUAGAAAGCCCAGGAGAGAGGGGAGGUGCCAGCCUGACCCAUUCUCCAGGAGGAGCCUGCUGUCUCUGCCCGGGGCUUGUGGUGCUCAAGGGUUUGAUGUACUCUCCUGGUUCUUUGGCACUCAAGGAUGCGAGGGACUCAAAACCAAGGGCACGGAGGUGAGAAGGUGACUGAGGCUGCCUGGCAGGCCACGGGGGCCAGUCUGGAGAAGCUUGCUCAUGCAACAGCUCAUCUGGGAGGCGUGAGCAAAGGCUUGGGUCCUGAGGCUGGUACAGUCUGGGCAGGGCAAAGGUGGGGUGGGGCCAGCAGGGUGAGAGGUGGAGGCUCUGUGUAUGAGGUCAAGAAUUAGGACCAGCUCUUUGCUCUGUGGUUCACAACCUCUCACAGACACACACACACACACACACACACACACACACACACACACACACAUCCCACCUUAAGAAAAGGUAUUGUAAAGAUUAGAGGCAUUGCCGGGCGGUGGUGGCGCACGCCUUUAAUCCCAGCACUCGGGAGGCAGAGCCAGGCGGAUCUCUGUGAGUUCGAGGCCAGCCUGGGCUACCAAGUGAGUUCCAGGAAAGGCGCAAAGCUACACAGAGAAACCCUGUCUCGAAAAAACAAAACAAAACAAAACAAACAAAAAAAAAACAACAAAAGAUUAGAGGCAUGGCUUGGGGACCAAAAAAGCUGAGUUUAAUUUUAGCCUCACAUUUUGUGUGAUCACUGGGUGACUUCUCUAUGCCUUACUUCACUUUCUUACAGAAUGGAGGUGGCAGUGUGCCCUCCCCUCCUCCAGUGGGUAGUUGUAAGGCGUCAGAGGGCUCCCCUGAGUUGCCAUAGUGCUCAGAGACUGGAGACCUGUUUUGUUUGUUUGUCUUAGGGAUGCCCUUCCUACAUGGUCUAGCAAUGAGGGUGAGGGGGAUGGGGAUAUGGACAGGGCUCUCGGGUCCCCCCACUCAGCAGCCAGGCUCAUCAGAGCCCCCUUAAUAAUCAGCUGGGUGACUCAGUACUAGGGCUUCCUAGGUGUGUGGUCCUCACCUGUAAAGGGAGGUCACACCCCAUCACUGAACUGGCCAUGAGGAUGAUGCUUGGGUGAGGCCAGCUGCCAAUUCAGCUAUUGUCAGCUGCUUUGAGCUCCAGCCACCAGUGGCCCCCACUGUGGCUUUCAAUGUGGACAUUACUGGCCUCUCUCGUUCCUGGUUUCCCCCAGGCCCGGAGAUCAAGGGACCCUUUCUUCUUGACCCCAGACCUGUGUCAGCGGGAGCACAGGCUGGCCAGCAGAGCAAAUGAAUAGGGUAUGUGGGGGGCAGUAAGCUGUGCAGUUGUGCUCAUGAAAGAGCAUGGUGGAACCCAGGAUACUUCCUGUUGGAAUGGGCUUUAGUACUGGGACUAAAGGAGGUGUGGCUAGGGAAGGGGAGCACUUCGAUUUCUCAGCCUGGCUGUGCUUGGCCUGGUGACAUGAACAGUCCCAAGGCCGUUCUGUGUUCAGAGUUCUGCUCGUUUCUUUGAGGUCAUGCCACCUGGGGCUGGGAGCAGGUGACAGGAGGUGACACACAGCCUGAUAAACUGGCCAUAUUUCACCAUGCCAUCCACUGCUGGGAGCCGAUUGCGCAGAUCUGCUUCUGUGGUGUCGCAGAAUUAGUCCUGAGAGCGGUCCCCUCCCCUCUGACAUCCGCAUGCUGGGGAAGCUGCGUCUCUGGCAGUGUGCCUCAAACACAGGCUGUGAAAAUCAAGGCACCACCACUCCAGGCAGCCUCUCUGGUCCCACUGUGCCAUGGGAAGAUGAUGCUAUUGCAUUAUAUCGGGGCUUGAGGUCUGUCCGGAUGAAGGAACAAGGGAGGUACCAUCAGUGGUCUCAUACGUGGUUCUUGUAACUCAUGAUCAAGGGGGCAUCCUCAGAAGGGCGUUAACUCCAUGUCAGCUGAGGGUUAAGCUGGCAACUACCCCCACUUUAUAGAUGGGCAAGAAGAGGUUCAGGUAAGCACAUGGUUCAUCCAGGGUUACCAAGGCAGAGGCACCCCAGGCUCCUGGUGAACUCUGCCCUUUCUGAAGUGGAGAUCAUGCAGUGUUUUCCUACGCACUACUUGGGUGCCCCAGGGGCCGUGGAGGCCUGAGAGUCAUUCUCCUGGUUCAACAGUAAAGGCAUCGAGUCAGCCAUGAGUAUUUAUUGAGAGCUCGGCACCCAUUGAGCCUCCGUGGAUGUGGUGAGAACUCAACCAUUGUGGUUGCUGCUGUCCUGGGUUCCUACCCUGGUGGCCAAUGGCAGUCAGCAGCUGUCCUGUGACUCAGGAAGAAGUCCUGGGAGUUGGGGUCUGGGGAAAGCACCCAUGGAGAGAACUGGGAACUGAAGAGAUCACAGAGCUAAGGAAGUAGGGAAGGGAGUAGUUUGUUGCAGGCAAAGACCACGAGGCUGGAGAGGGUGCCAGGCUUGUGGGCACUGUAGCGUUACUUCCAGGCCCUGGGUGGGUCACAGUAAGAGACAGAAACCACAGACUGAGCAGAGCCUCUGCCCUCGGGUCCUUGGCUGGCAGCUCUGCCCUGCCUUCCUCCAAGCUAUUGGGAACCAGGCUUUCCAGAGUCACCUCCCUCAGUGUCCCUCCAGGGAGGGAGUACUUGAGGACCACCACAGUGUUGAGAUGGACGGUUGGGGCCUGCUGCCUCCCUGGGGCUCUUUACCAGGAGAGCUGUGUGGACCCUGUCCCACUCUGUGCCUGUGCGCAUGUGGGUGCACAGAGGGAUGCUCACCCUGGAAGCUGUGUCACUGCUGGUGUGUAUGCACCUGUGGGUUACAGGUGACUCCCUCCUCUAUCCUCUGUCUCAGGAGGCCCUGGGGGGCAGCCAUCAUGCCCCCGCUAGUGAGGCCUCUGUGCAUCUCGCCAGUGUUCCUGGCCUGGUGAGCUAGCUCUGUCACCUAGGAGUCAGGUCCCAUCCCUGCCACUGAGCUGCAGAAGCAUUGGCCAAGCUGUGGAGCCAUCCUGAGGCCUAUGUAUGGCUAGGAAAUGUGAUGAUGUCACAGGUCACAGGAUAGGGAUGUUCAUUACCUUCCAGGUCCCUUGGUGGAGAAGGAACCCACGUUGGCUGGUGUCUCAGGGAUGCUAGAAGCCACACACAUAGAAGUGGUAUAAACCAGCCCUUAAACAUGUGUUCAUAGCUUAAGAACCUCCUGGCCUGGCUAUGGACUCCACCCAGACCCGGGUGAGGUAUGUGGGAUGGAAUCUCCUCAGCUAUAUCUUGAGGUUUCAAGUGGACACACUCAAUUUCUGGGCACUGGUCAGCUACCCCCGGGGCAGCUUAUGGUGGGACAGACUGACUGAUGGUUAUUGACAUGCUCCAAACCAGCCUAAUCUACAGUCAGUCCCUCAUUGUGACUCUCUUCCCAGAUGACUUUAUCAAGUUCUUGACUAAAACUAAACAGUACGUGAGUGGCAGGGUUAUUGCUUCUCUCUCCCUGGACACAUUGGCUGGUGUGUGGCAUUCAGGUAUCCUUCAAAGCUUCAGAGGCAUGGCUGGCUGUGCCAAGAGGGGGUUGGAGUGGACCACACAGCAUUGGGGGGGGGGCAGUGAUAAGCAUGUCAUCACCAGGGUGAGCGCAAUAUGAGAGCCCCUGCGGCUUUGACAAGGGGUGAUCUGCUUGCACGAGGGGUCUGCGAACAAGCAGAGAUUGCGUGGAGCCCCCGCGCCCUCCCGCUUUUAUGUGAGUGCUGGGGAUCCAAACUCUAGUCCUCAUGUUUUCACUAGCCCUUCAUCCGAGUCACUUCCUCAGCCCUGCGUUCUCUUCAGCAAAGUCAGUUUGCCAAGUGAUGUCCUCUGCCAGCAGCCGCUUGCUUACCUGUACCCCUGCCAACACUUGGUACCAUAAGGCUUUAGGCUUUACUCACUCUUGGGUGGGUGCUGGUGCUACGGUGGGGCUUGGCACCAUUCCGUGGUUUCUGGCCACCUACAUUCCUCUUUUCUGAAGCGUUUAUGUCUUUUGCCUAGUCCAUUAUUUGGGGGCAGGGGUGGUCUGUCUUUUGGUUGGGGUGAUGUGGGGGAUGAAACCCAGAAUCUCAUGCACGCUAGGCAAGUUCCCUUAUCACCAGGCUGCCCUCCCCACCCCCUGGCUAGUCCUGUUUUUUCUCUUUCUUACCGCUCCCUGGAGAGUCGUGGUGUGUUCUGAGUGGGGGACGAGUCCCUGGUCCUUGACACCUUUCAGAUUGCCUUCCAUCUUCUUGACCUGCCUUCUCCUCACCCACAGAGCCAAUGAGAUGAACAGAAGCUUGGGUUUGGGUGUGAUCAAAUGUGAGCACUUUUCUUCCUGGCAAGUGCUUCCUGUGUCCUGCUGACAGGGUCUUCUCUCCAUGUUCCCCCUCUUGCUGUUCCCCUCUCCCCCUCUCCAGAACCUUACUGCUGGCUUUUCAGGCUUGGGCAGUGGAGCCACUGGCAAUGGUGGUGCUUGAUGUGAGGUGUGGGGGGGGAUCCCCACUUUGUGUUUUUCCUUGUGCACACCCCUUGGCAGACACCAUGAAGGGAAAAUUCGUGUCCUGCUCUGACACCUUGACUCUGCAAGGGCCUGGGUCUGCUCUUGCCCCUCACCCCACCAGCUCAUUCAGAACAGGAUGGGGGUGUUGUAUGUUAUCCUAACAACUGGUUUCUUCGAUAUCACCUCUGCUGGGACACUUGAGACCAGGGGCCGCUUCCACACAUAAUCUCUGUUUCUGACUUCAAAGCCCGAUACCGAACCUGGCUUAUGUUGAUAAAUGUUUCUCCAAUGGAUGAAUGCGUAGGUGGGAGGAGUCUUUGCAGUGGACUCCCACUGCAGCCCCAUCCUGGCCUGUCUGCCUGUGUGUGCAUCUUUCUGUGGUGGUCUCAUCCCAGGCCCACUGCAGCCCCAUCCUGUCUGCCUGUGUGUGCAUCUUUCUGUGGCCUCAUCCCAGGUCCACUGCAGCCCCAUCCUGGCCUGUCCGCCUGUAUGUGCAUCUUUCUGUGGUGGUCUCAUCCCAGGCCCACUGCAGCCCCAUCCUGUCUGCCUGUGUGUGCAUCUUUCUGUGGCCUCAUCCCAGGUCCACUGCAGCCCCAUCCUGGCCUGUCCGCCUGUGUGUGCAUCUUUCUGUGGCCUCAUCCCAGGUCCACUGCAGCCCCAUCCUGGCCUGUCUGCCUGUGUGUGCAUCUUUCUGUGGCCUCAUCCCAGGCCCACUGCAGCCCCAUCCUGGCCUGUCCGCCUGUGUGUGCAUCUUUCUGUGGUGGUCUCAUCCCAGGUCCACUGCAGCCCCAUCCUGGCCUGUCUGCCUGUGUGUGCAUCUUUCUGUGGUGGUCUCAUCCCAGGUCCACUGCAGCCCCAUCCUGGCCUGUCUGCCUGUGUGUGCAUGUUUCUGUGGUCUCAUCCCAGGUCCACUGCAGCCCCAUCCUGGCCUGUCCGCCUGUGUGUGCAUCUUUCUGUGGUGGUCUCAUCCCAGGUCCACUGCAGCCCCAUCCUGGCCUGUCUGCCUGUGUGUGCAUCUUUCUGUGGCCUCAUCCCAGGCCCACUGCAGCCCCAUCCUGGCCUGUCUGCCUGUGUGUGCAUCUUUCUGUGGUGGCCUCAUCCCAGGUCCACUGCAGCCCAAUCCUGGCCUGUCUGCCUGUGUGUGCAUCUUUCUGUGGCCUCCUCCCAGGCCUAUACCAACUCCUCAUUUGCUAGCCUCCUAGUCCACGCUGGACUCUGAACACCAUGGUGAGAAUGCCACCUCCUGUCUCACCACGCUGCCCACUCUUCCUAGCACCCCGACACCCAAGGCUGGAUGCCCACUUCCCUGUGCCCUUGACCUGGGCCUGUCCUCCUCCAACAUCUGGAAGGGAAAGAAGGAGCAAAAAUCUGGGAAAACCUGCCUCCCUCCAGGGCACGUAGUGACUCUGUGGGACUUUGGACACUGUUGCUGGCCCCCUCAGCUACAGCUGGGCAUAUGUCCACCACCUAGAGUGGCUCUGGGGCGGAGCUAACUCCAGGAAGAGGACAGAGUCAGUUUUUGCAAAAUCCUGCCUUUUUUUUUUUUUUAAAUCCUGCAUAUAUACUCUAUUCAUUUAUGGGUUUUGGAUGCAUUUUUUGUUCUCAUUUAACUAAAAACGGCCUUGAUUUAAAAAAGAGAGAGAGAGAGAAAGGAGUGAGGGAGAGAGUGAAAUUGGCACGCAGCAAGCCCAUCUGCUCUAAUUACUUCUGGUAUUUUGAAAGAAGGGAUCUAAACCUGCUGAGACACCGAACUUGGGGAAGCGGCUGCUGGGCCUGCGCCUGGGAGGCUGGGCUCAGAUACCGAUUCUGUGCUUGGCUGGGCUGCCUCCUGUCAGGGCUGGCCCCUGAGGCCCAAGGAGGGGACUUCUCUUGUCUCUAGGAACCAGGGCCUCAAGGGCCAGCUCUGCAAGGCUGGGCUGAGAACCCAGCCUGGUGUGUGGGUGCUAGCAGUGUGGCAGUGGCUGGAACCUUGGCUUUGUGAGAUGGUGUCACAAUGAGUCCCCUUGCCCUUAGCAUUCAAAGAGGCCAGAUAUAGACAUUGCCUGGCACACAGUUGGUGUCUCAUCAUGCUGCUGGCUGUGGCCACGCAGUAUUGGGGCUAGGGAUAAUGAGGGUUGCCUUUACAUAGCCAAUAGCCACAGAUAACCCUCCUUCAUUCAGGCAUGGGACAGCGAGUGCCUGGUGGCCUCUGGGAGCAGGCCCGGGGUGGGCACGCAUGCCAUCUUUUCUGUGCCAUUCUCCUACUUUGUACAGUUAAGUAGGCCUGCUGCACAGCCUGGGGCAGGAAUGGAGCAGCCUGGGAACUUUGUCUGUGAUGGCACUCAGGGAAGCCUGCUGAUGUGACAGCUGUGUGUGUCUGUCUUAUCACAACCCCCAAGACAAUUAGUGAGGUUCCCUCCUUUUCCCUCAUUUGACAGAAGGUGCUGAGACUCAGGAAGCAGGUUGACUUGCUACGAAGGAAGGCCCCACAAGGAUCAAGGGGAGCCGGGCCAGGGAGGGAACCGUGUGCCCUCAGGACAGCCACAGCGAGGUGCUCGAUGAAUGUCAUUCACCGGGGAAGAGCACAGUCCUGUUUGGUGCAUAGCACAGUUUAGGGUAUUGCCUGGUUUUGUGAUGUUCUCAGAGGGACUUGCCUGUCUCAGUCUGUGAGUGUGCCCAGCAGGAGCUACCUUAUGCUGGUGUCUUGGCUUAGGGCUGGGGACCCAUUGCUGGAGGUCUGGGCUCUGGAGUCCUUGGUAGAGGAUCCUGCACUGUAUCAGGGUGAGGGCUUUGUGGUCCGCUCUUUUACUGAAGCCCCCAGGGUCCAGCUUGAAGAACGUAUGUCAUACACCUGUUCCCUCCCCUCCCUGACUUGGUAGCUUCUUGCUGUCUUACUGACUUCAAGGACUAUUCCCACGAAGCCCCCACACAGCAUUUGUCUUAGACUGUCUUGCAUCUUUGGGUGCUGUUAGCCUGAGGUUAUGGCCUUCACAACACCCAGGCUGGUACUUGGUGGCUUUCCCCAAACUGCUCCGUUUGAUCUUUGUCCCGACGGGACAGACAGGACUAUGCCAUUUUGUGUCAUGGCUGAGCUGGGGGAUGUGCAGAGAUGCUGAGGGACUGACUGGCCUGUGCUCUCAGCGCUGGGAGGAGGCAGGUAUGUGGGUUGCUCUGCUCAGGCAGGGUGAUAGCCUCAGCUGGUGCUGAUGUGGGUAGCCUCCCCCUGACGCUGGCCUGCCCUCUGGUGGUCCCUGUGGACAGCAGAAUGGGCGGGGCUUCAGCUCUUGCCUCCCCGACCCUCCUAUGGCUCAUCUAGUUCUGCAUAUGAGAGAAGAGGCAGCUGCUGAGCACCGAGCCACGGGGUGGUCAUUGAGGCCACCUCAGUAACGUCUUUCCUUGUCUUCAACCCACACGCGCGCGCGGUCGGUCAGGAGCCACAUGUCUCUGUUCAGGGAGCUGUCUACAUGACUGGGUAAGCUCAGAUUCUUCCCAGGAAAACAAGGGCAACCUGUGAUAGCCACAUGGGAGCCAGCAGCACAUGACAUGGCUCAGGCCCCCAGAGACCCUGCCUGUCACCCGUGAGUGGGUCCACUGUUGCUCACCCUUCUCUCUCUCCUUCCUGGUACUCAACAUUCCAGGCCUGGCUUACUGUGUCUAUGAUGGUAUCUGAGACAGGGAAAGAGAGUCCUUGGCUUCUGGACCCUACUGAGCUGAUUGUUCAUAUAUCUAUGCACAUGUACACAUUCAAUCCACACACAGGCCUACACAUAUGUAAUAUAGUCAAUAAACAAGCCUGCGUACACAUUCAUGAUAUACAUAAAUGCCUGCACGCACAAGUGCACACAAACACAUGCAUGUGUCCACAUGCACCGCUGGACAGUCUCACACACACAUUCAAAUUGAUAUGCUUGAUAGGAGUGCACUCUCAAGGACACACACACACACACACACACACACACACACACACACACACACAAGCACACUCAUGAUCUAGUUAUGUAUGUCCACACAUGCACAGGUGGACUAGGGAGGUACACUCUUAAGGACACACACACACACACACACACAAAUGCACAUGCACACACACUUCCUUUCCCUUUUCCUAUCCUUAUCUUCUGUCUCUUUUCCGGAGUUGCUUCUUCUCUGUUGCCUCUGUCCUCUCAAGCAGGCUGCUGUGCGCCCGCUCACUCUCCCACUCAAGAUUAACGUCUGAGACGAAUCAUCUGCCAUCUCUGCACAGAGUCCCAGCAAAACAAAAGAUGAGCGAUUCCGCAUAUCGGAAGGGUGGGGGAAAUUAAUUAGGAAUGACAAGGGACCCAGUCUGCAGCUCCACACUCUCCGCUGCUGACUUGCUGGCUACGGUUGUGGCCGCAUGAGUGACAGACUUCUGGACGCUGGGCGGCUGGGAGCUGAUGGGAACAUCGUACAGGUGAGUUGGCCCUUCAGAGGUGGGACCUGGGCAGGCCCUUCUACAGCUCCCCAACAGCUGGCCCAGCUUCUAGGCUGGGAGGUGGCCUAGGUAACUGUUCUGUUCUGAGCCAGCGUGGGAAGGUAAGACACCAGGGAGCCUCAAGAGGAAGGAAUGAGAAUUAGCGGCCGGGGG